UCAGUAAGGUAGUGUUUGGUAUGAGGUAAUGAAGGAUGGAAUGGAAUACUCCAUUCAAGGCUAAUGAAAAAAGAAGUGUUUGGUUGACCAUGUGAAUGGAAUAAGGCAUUACAUACCCCAUUCCAUUCCUUCUAAAAUUGUUGAAAUCUAUUCCUGGCCUACCCCUAGUUUUUUUUCAUUUCGUUCAUUAACAAAAGGAAGUUUCUCUAUUUUGCCCCCAUCCUCACCGAUUUUCCCUCCCCUUCUAUCGAUAUCUGAUUUGCACAUCCUCUUAACAAGGAAUGGAUUAUGAUUUGGUCAUAUAUAUCACCAUCUUCAUAGAGCAGAACGUCACUCCUCUGGAACCCUAAAAUUUGCCCAGUUCGUUGUGAUUUUCAUCAUCAGACACGAAAUCAGGUUGAUGAAGAACGCAAAUUUGGAUGGGUAAAGACUAUGCUUGAAGAUAUUGCUUGACGUGAUAUACGAUGACUUUUGGAUUAUUUUUAUUUUUUUUUUUAUUUUGCAGAUCCUGGAUGAUUGUUAAUUAUUUUGGUUGGAAACUUUUGAAUAUAUUUUGAAUUA